GGAAUCUUGGACAAUGGGCGAAAGCCUGAUCCAGCGACGCCGCGUGACUGAUGAAGCCUUUCGGGGUGUAAAAGUCUUUCGGCAGGGACAAUAAUGAUGGUACCUGCAGAAGCAGCUGCGGCUAACUACGUGCCAGCAGCCGCGGUAAUACGUAGGCAGCUAGCGUUGUUCGGAAUUACUGGGCGUAAAGCGCGCGUAGGCGGAUAUUCAAGUCGGGGGUGAAAUCCCGGGGCUCAACCCCGGAACUGCCUUCGAUACUGGAUGUCUGGAGUUCGAGAGAGGUGAGUGGAAUUCCGAGUGUAGAGGUGAAAUUCGUAGAUAUUCGGAGGAACACCAGUGGCGAAGGCGGCUCACUGGCUCGAUACUGACGCUGAGGUGCGAAAGCGUGGGGAGCAA
rnacentral:rRNA from 1 species